rnacentral:rRNA from 1 species
CCCUUAGAUGUUCUGGGCCGCACGCGCGCUACACUGAUGCAUUCAACGAGUUUCUUCCUGGUCCGAGAGGAAUGGGUAACCUUUUGAAAGUGCAUCGUGAUAGGGAUAGACUAUUGCAAUUAUUGGUCUUCAACGAGGAAUUCCUAGUAGACGUAGUUCAUCAGACUGCAUCGAUUACGUCCCUGCCCUUUGUACACACCGCCCGUCGCUACUAUCGAUUGAGCGGUUCAGUGAGGGCCUCGGAUUGGUCUCGGUCUGGCGUGCAAGCGCCGGCACCGUUGGCCGAGAAGACGCUCGAACUCGAUCGCUUGGAGAAAGUAAAAGUCGUAACA